GCUCCUCCAGCAAAGCUGCAAGAAUAAAGGUCUGCGAUGGUGUGCGAAUUUGGCCUACCAGAAACAGCUGAUCUCUCCCCAAUCCAAGAAUUGAGAGAAGGUUUUGACUUGAGCAACCUUUUAAAAGUAUCAUUCGUCUUUUGCCAUAUAUUCGCUUGAAAAGCAAAAAAUACAUAUUACAUCAGCUUUGAAAAAUACCCGAUUUCCAGGAAGAAGUACUUCGACGUUCGUUUGAAACAGCUUAAGCGCGUAUUUAGUCUGAAUUUAUCUGGAGCAGUAUCCUUAAGCGUCUAACUCAUCGCAUCCAAUCGUUGCUGUGUACAGCAUGCAGUUAAAUUUCGAAGAGUAUCCCUUGGGCAUCGCAAGGACAUUGCAACGAGUGCAAUCUGCGCCUGCAGGCGUGACUCCCACGCCAUUUAAUCAACAUUAGUGGAACCACAGUACACAGUGUCCUCGAAUGUGCAAGUGUGGGUGUGUGUGUGGGUGUGGAAGGACGAAAAGGAAAACAUACACCAAAUGGCAUAUUAAUUGCUGUCAGCUUGCCGGUUUUUAACAGCAUUUUGGUUGCCGGUAACAAAUGAACUUGAAAAACGUUUGCAGCGUAUAAGUGUAAGCAAGUUGGCCACUUUAAUAAAUAAUACACUAAUUGCUAUUUAAA